rnacentral:rRNA from 1 species
GACGAACGCUGGCGGCGUGCUUAACACAUGCAAGUCGAACGGAAAGGCCCUGCUCUUGUUGGUUGCUCGAUUGGCGAACGGGUGAGUAACACGUGAGUAACCUGCCCUUGUCUUUGGGAUAACUUCAGGAAACUGGGGCUAAUACCGGAUAGGAGCUCCUGCUGCAUGGUGGGGGUUGGAAAGUUUCGGCGGUUGGGGAUGGACUCGCUGCUUAUGAGCUUGUUGGUGGGGUAGUGGCUUACCAAGGCUUUGACGGGUAGCCGGCCUGGGCGGGUGACCGGGCACAAUGGGACUGAGAGACGGCCCAGACUCGUACGGGAGGCAGCAGGGGGGAAUAUUGCACAAUGGGCGGAAGCCAGAUACAGCAACGCCGCGUGCGGGAUGACGGCCUUCGGGUUGUAAACCGCUGUCGCCUGAGACGAAGCGUGAGUGACGGUAAUGGGUAAAGAAGCACCGGCUAACUACGUG